UACAGAGGUCCCAAGCGUUGUUCGGAUUCACUGGGCGUAAAGGGUGCGUAGGCGGCGGGGGAAGUUUGAUGUGAAAUCUCCGGGCUCAACCCGGAAAAUGCAUUGAAUACUACUCUGCUGGAGGUUUGGAGGGGGGACUGGAAUUCUUGGUGUAGCAGUGAAAUGCGUAGAUAUCAAGAGGAACACCAGUGGCGAAGGCGAGUCCCUGGACAACACCUGACACUGAGGCACGAAAGCUAGGGGAGCAAACAGG
rnacentral:rRNA from 1 species